CGAGUGAGCGGCAAAAGCUCAAAUUUGAAAUCUGGCACUUUCAGUGUCCGAGUUGUAAUUUGAAGAAGGUAUCUUUGGGUCUGGCUCUUGUCUAUGUUUCUUGGAACAGAACGUCACAGAGGGUGAGAAUCCCGUGCGAUGAGAUGUCCCAGACCUAUGUAAAGUUCCUUCGAAGAGUCGAGUUGUUUGGGAAUGCAGCUCUAAGUGGGUGGUAAAUUCCAUCUAAAGCUAAAUAUUGGCGAGAGACCGAUAGCGAACAAGUACAGUGAUGGAAAGAUGAAAAGAACUUUGAAAAGAGAGUGAAAAAGUACGUGAAAUUGUUGAAAGGGAAGGGCUUGAGAUCAGACUUGGUAUUUUGUAUGUUACUCUCUCGGGGGUGGCCUCUACAGUUUACCGGGCCAGCAUCAGUUUGAGCGGUAGGAUAAGUGCAAAGAAAUGUGGCACUGCUUCGGUAGUGUGUUAUAGUCUUUGUCGAUACUGCCAGCUUAGACUGAGGACUGCGGCUUCGGCCUAGGAUGUUGGCAUAAUGAUCUUAAGUCGCCCGUCUUGAAACACGGAC
rnacentral:rRNA from 1 species